rnacentral:rRNA from 1 species
AUUGAACGCUGGCGGCAUGCCUUACACAUGCAAGUCGAACGGUAACAGGCCGCAAGGUGCUGACGAGUGGCGAACGGGUGAGUAAUGCAUCGGAACGUGCCCAGUCGUGGGGGAUAACUGCUCGAAAGAGCAGCUAAUACCGCAUACGACCUGAGGGUGAAAGCGGGGGACCGUAAGGCCUCGCGCGAUUGGAGCGGCCGAUGUCAGAUUAGCUAGUUGGUGGGGUAAAGGCCUACCAAGGCAACGAUCUGUAGUUGGUCUGAGAGGACGACCAGCCACACUGGGACUGAGACACGGCCCAGACUCCUACGGGAGGCAGCAGUGGGGAUUUUGGACAAUGGGCGCAAGCCUGAUCCAGCAAUGCCGCGUGCAGGAAGAAGGCCUUCGGGUUGUAAACUGCUUUUGUCAGGGAAGAAAUCUUCUGGGCUAAUACCCCGGGAGGAUGACGGUACCUGAAGAAUGAGCACCGGCUAACUACGUGCCAGCCGCCGCCGUAAUAC